GGGGAGGGGGAGGGUCCGGGCGCAGUGAGGCCCCGGGGGAGGGCCCGAAGUGGGCGGGGGACCCCGGGGGAGAGUGAGGCCUCAGGGCCGCCCCGGGGAGGAUCUGGGCUCCGUGCGUCCCCAGGGAAGAGGGAGGGUCGGUGGAGGGGGGCUGUGUCCUGCGGGGGCAGAGAGCGAGCGACCGCCUGUGGCCGUCCUGGGUUCGGGGAGGGGGCGCGGCCGGCCCCCGCGCUGGCCUAGGUUGCUGUGAGUGAGCCCUGGGGCCUGACCAGCGCGCAGGGGCCGGCGAAGAGAAGUACACAGGGUGCCCAGACCUGCGGGUUAAAGGGAACAUGAUUGUUGUUGGGUUGUUUUUUUGGCAAAAACACUUUCCUCUCUUUCUCUUUCCCAGCGGGUGGGAGGGAGCCGGUUUGUAACUGAGUUUGUAACAGGACAGACCCUCGAAGCGGCCGGUGCCUUUUGUGCUCACCCCUGGAGAAUUCAGGACUCGGAGUGUUUACCUGGACUGGGAGGAAGGAAGACUGUAAUCGCAGGGACUCUGUUGGGGAAAGGCUCAUACACUCUAGAAUGACCCCUCGCGUGUUGACAGCAGUGAUCCCAUGGAAAGGUGAGGGGGUUCGUCAUUGAGUAGAUAAUUAGAAGUUGAGAAAAUUUGAGUUUUGUGGUAAUCAGUUUUACCCUUUACUGAAGUUCCUGUGGGAAAACAAGCAUUCGGGCAUAGCCAGCGAAACGGAAGAUGAAAGGCCACCCGGAACCGGCCCUUCCAGACCUGAAACAUACGGUAAAACCCACAUAACUGCAACAGUUGGGGAUUGCCACCCAGUCGAACAAUGGAAUAGAGCAGAAGCUCAGAAAUAGACCUGAAGCCAUACGGCAGCAUAGUAUAUGACAAAGAUGGCAUCUCAGAUCACGGGGCCAGCACCAUCUGUGUAAUAAGUGGUCCUAGGAGAGCUGGACAGCCAUUUCUUAAAAUGUAAAAUUAUGUCCAUAUCUCUCACCAUAUAUAAGAAAUAACUCCAAACGGAUGAAGGAUGUCGUGUACAACCUAAGACUGGGGGAGAGAGGGCGCUUCCCCCACAACGGCAGUGUGGGAAGGGUGGUGAGAGAGAAGACUGGUAAGUUCGACUGCAGACGAGUGUCUUGUAACUUUGCACGGCACAUACACAAAAGACCACUGACAAACGGGAGGAGAUACGCGCAGCAUAAACCUCAGACAAAGGGUGAGUUUCUUUUAAUAAAGAACUCUUUAAACGUUGGGUUCCAAGGCAGUUAGGCCAGAAAAAUAAUAACGGGCAACCAGCCUGCAAAGAAAGAAGUAAAACUUCUCUGCAGACGGCAUGACCACAUGUACAGGGAAUCCGGAGGAACCCAUCAGAAAGCUGUGAGGACUAGUACAGUGGGGCUCGGCGAGGUCACAGGAUAGGAGACCAGCCUCCUAGCCUGGCGCGGUUCACACGGGAUGCGUUGCUGGUUCUUCUGGUCCUGCAGCAGCUCCUGGCCUUUGGAUUCAAAUUAGGACCACGGCUCUGGAGAUGUUGCUGGCUCCAACAUCACAUGCGCCCGUCCUUUAUAAGUGUGGAACCAGCCCUACUGGUUCCUUCGAGCUACACACACAGCUGACCCUCAGACAACAUGGGCAUUUGGAGCACUGACCCCUGCAUAGUCACCUUUCCAAAAACUUAACUACUAAUACCCCACCAGUGAGGGAAGCCUUGCAGACCACAUGCACAGUUGAUGAACACCUAGUUUGUGUAUGUGUUGCAGACUGUGCUGAGGAUAUAGUGAGUCAGGGAAGGGACUGUUGUUAAGUCAUGAGAGAAAAUACUUUUAUAGUACUGGACCGUAUCAGAGAAAAAUCUUAAGUGUAAGUGAACCCAUGCAGUUCCUGCCUUUGUUGGAUAUUGAUCAACUAUAUACUUAUAUAUAAAACAGGACAUAAUGUAAGUAGGAGAUUUAUAUGUAUAUCUCAUGUUAUCAUAUGCCUAUAAUAAUAGGUGUAUAUAACAAGAUGUAAGUUAUACAUAAAAAGACUAUAUGUACUGAUUGAUUCCCUUUCUCUAGAAAAGCCCAAUACAGAUUUUUGUAAUAAUCCAGAGGGUCUCAAAUUUGAAAAAUAAUUCCAUUUGCAAUAGCAUAAAAAAAAUACUUAGAAAUAAGUUUAACAAGUGUUAGAGUUCUGGAAACUACAUGGCAUUGUUGAGAGAAAGGAGGCCUCUAUAAACUGAAGGACAUCCCAUAUUCAUGGGUUGGAAGACUUACUAUUACGAUAGCACUGUUCCCUAAUCUGAUCUGUAGAGUCAACGCAAUACCUGUCAAAUAUGGCUUUUUUGCAAAAAUCAACAAACUUAUUGUCAUGGUAAAACAAGAUACCCAGAAUAACCAAAACAGUCUUGAGAAAAGAGAACGAAGUUGGAAAACUCCCAGGACUGAACUCGAGAAGUUAAUACAAAGCUACAGUAAUCAAGGCAGCGUAGUCCUGGAGGAAGGAAGAGCAGGACAGGUGAAUAGUGUAGAAUCGGGAGCCCAGAAAUAAUCAUUCACACUCACGGUCACUUGAUUUUCCUGAGAGAGAGCCAAGAUGCUUCUAUUGGGAAAGAAUGGUUUUCUCCAACAAACAGUGAUGGGAUGUGGAAAACAAGGAAGUGGGAUCCUUGCCUAACACCACAGUCACAAUUUAACUCAAAGUAGAUCAAAGGCUUGAAGGUAAGUGCCGAAACAAAACUCUAAGAAGAAAACGUAGGCGUGCAUGUUUAUUUCCGUGGAUUAGGUAGUGGUUCCUUAGUUGUAGCACCAGACCCAAGCAACAAAAGAAAAAUAAUCCGGACUUCAUCAAAAUUAAGCAUGUUAGUACAUUAAAGGACAUCAUCGCAUAUACGAGGGAAUUAAAUCGGGAGUAUGUAAAGAACCCUUACAACUGAGCUUUAGAAGGUAAUCUAAACAGGCCAGAGACUUCCGUACAGACAAGUCUCCACCUAAGAUGGCUACAAAGGAUGGAGUAAGAUAGCAGCAUCCUUUGUCCUUAGAGAACUGCAAACCCAAACCACAAAGGGAUGCUGUACACGCGUGCGCGCACACGCACAAACACACACACACACACACACACACGGCCAUAAUCAGAAACACAUAGAGCAUCGGCGAGGGUGUAAAGGUGAGAGUCCUCCUGCUCCUGGGAACCUGGGACACUACAGCGGGCGUGGGCCCAGUGACAGAGGCCACAUGCUGCACGGUCCCGUUUGUAUGAAAUACCCAGGACAGGCAAAUCCACGUAGACAGCAGGUGAGGGAGAGGUCGCCCGGGGCUGAGGCAGGAGUACGGGGCUUCUGUUUGGGGCGAUGAGAAUGUUCUAAAGUUACACAGAGAGGCUGCGAAGCACUGUGCGUAAACUAAAAACUGCUGACUUGUGCAUUUUAAAAGGGUGAUUUUAAUGUCCAUUACAUUGCCAUGAAAUAAAGAACAGCAGAAAAAAUCUACACGUAUCCACUCAUUUCUGAAAGAAAAAAAUGCAGUAAACAUAAACUGUAAACAAACAUGGCAUGGGUGAGGGCAUGGAUGGGGCAGCAGUAAGGGAGUAACCGAGUGACGGGGACAACGACAUUUCUUCAAUGACACCGGUCUGGGUAGCUCUGAUCCUCAGAACCACGCCAACGUCUGCAUGCACACGUGCACACGUCCGCACAGCCAGGAGCAGAGCAAGUGGGAUGAGACGGAUGUGCACUGUGACAGUUGACAUACCACGAACGGAGGAGGAGGAAAGAACUGACUUAAGUAACUGCCAGAAGCAGCGAUCUGACCGUCCCCUGUAAGAGUGGGGGCCGAGGCAGCUGUACCCUGACCGCGCACUCCAGUUGAGACAUUCAUUUCUCAUCAGAUACACAAAUGGACAGAGAAAUAGAGAUGUACAUUGGAUGCACGGACUUAGGUUUUCUAGUUCUGUCCGUGAGAGCACGCAGAAGCAGCGACCCUCCAGAGCAAUGAAAUCUAGCGUCCAGAUCUUGGUUUCCGAGUGUCGUUCUCCAACAAGGAGUAGGGCUUCCAGCGUUGAGGCAGGAGCAAGAUGGGCCUGGAACAGCUCAUGGCGCCACAAGGUAAGGAAGUGAUCCCAGCAGAAGGGGGCGCAUCAGAAGGGAGCCAGGACCCAAACUGGAGUUCCCAGCAGCCUAAGCUGGGACAAUUUGAGCAACAAAAUAAUAAUUUUACUCUAUAACCCAUGAAAUAAAAUAAAUAUCCAUGGUCCAUAGUGAUUGAUAAACAGAUAAUGAUAAAUAAAGAUAACAAGUAGACAUAGCUCCUUGUCCUAUAAUUCUAGUUAGGGCGCCUGGGUGGCUCAGUGGGUUAAAGCCUCUGCCUUCAGCUCAGGUCAUGAUCCCAGGGUCCUGGGAUCGAGGCCCACAUUGGGCUUUCUGCUCAGCAGGGAGCCUAUUUCCUCCUCUCUCUCUGACUGCUUCUCUGCCUACUUGUGAUCGCUCUCUGUCAAAUAAAUAAAUAAAUUAAAAAAAAAUAAUUCUAGUUAAUAAAUGUCGAAGGAAUGGUGGAAAUCAAGAAUCACCAUUAAGCAAAAUUUGCACUUACAAUCAAUCAGUGCAGGCAAGAACGGGCGUGCACUGUGAUAGGGGCUAAAAUCAGCAAAAGAAAAAGAAAAGAAACAAAAAGAUCAUGUUUGUGGUCUCGAAGUAUCCCCAUAAGAUACUGGAUGUUAACAUGGGAUAAGACACAUGUGCCCCCUAAUAUGGCCCACUGAAAAGGACACAAAUUCAUUUAUGUGGUAUUCCUUCCGCCAGAAAAAUCAGGAAAACCUCAAUCACGAAAAAAAUCAAACCCAAAUUGAGAGACAUUCUCCAAACACCUGACCAGCACUCUUUAGAAAUCUCAAGGUCAUGAAAGACCAAGAAACUUAGGGACCGGAGAUGGAGACGGGACAGUUAAGGACAUUGCGCCGUCCUUGAGCUUCUGGACCAGAGAAAGGGCGCUGGUGGGAAACCGGUGGGAUUCAGGUAAGGUUUGCGUGUGGUUUGUACGUUACGUAACAGUGUGGCAUCGACAUUAGUUUCUUUGGAAAGAAAGCUGUACGGUGACUACGAGGGAUGCUGUUGGAAGUUCGAUGAAGGAUAUACAGGAAGUCUGUUUUUGCAGAUUUUUCUGUAAGAUUAAAAUUCGUUCAAAAAACCUGCUAGGUAAAUAAACUUGGUGGACGCAUGGGAUGGAAGAGAUGAUCCUGUGAAAAACUAGUUUCGUUGACCCGAGGGUACGUCAACACACAUUUCCUAACCACCCGUUACAGCAAUUCCUAACUCCUCCCGGCGACCAGUCUCCUACAACCCGGCCCCCACACUUCCCUUCUUAGGAAGAAAACACUCUCGUCCUAUCACUGUCUCUAGAACCUUCCUCUGGUGAAAGCCUGUCAUCAUCGGACCCUGCUCCCCGCAGUGACCCGUGUGGUCCUGUUGCCGUCUGCUCCCUGGCGCAGUGCGCUGUGCUGCCCGAGACCUCCAGGCCUGGCUGACCACAGAGCUGUCCCAGUGUGCUGAGGGAGAACGUUUAUUCACCAGAAGGCCUCCUGGGAAAGCACAAUCUAUAUGACCUUUCUUACUUUUUCUUUUUUCUUUUUUUGGAAGAUUUAUUUAUUUAUUUAUUUAUUUGACAGACAGAGAUCACAAGUAGGCAGAGAGGCAGGCAGAGGGGUGGGGGGAAGUGGGCUGUCUGCUGAGCAGGGAGCCCGAUGCAGGGCUCGAUCCCCGGACCCUGGGAUCAUGACCCGAGCCGAAGGCAGAGGCUUAACCCACUGAGCCACCCAGGCGCUCCAUGACCUUUUCUUUAAGAAGAAAUACUUUGAUAAAGCACUUGGGUCAUGGACCGAAAGCCACAAUCACAGAAAGAUGGUCCCUAAACUGUGAUGUGUAAGACGGGCAGAGGCGCAUCCGUCGGUUCCCAGAGGGAAGGGGGGAGUCAAACAGAGCCCGUGGCGGAGCUAACACAAUGGGUUCCCGCGCACUGGAGUGGAAACGUCCAGGAGGGACUUCCUCACUUGUGCGCUCUCGGGUGCUUGACGUGAAACCUUCCACCGACUCCCUGGCAGCAUCACCCACUGUCCUUGCGGCAGGGCUGCGUGGGGAGACUGUCAGGGUGCGCGACGGCCUGCCCGGUCCGGGGCAGAGGAGAGCCGCUGUCGGAGCGACAGGAGCACAUCGGCGACGGCCGGCGGGUCCAGAGGCUGCUCUGCUUCCUCCCGGGCGGAGUCCUGGACCUAGAAACUGUGACAUUGGUGUUACUGUGAUGUUUUCACGGAACAGGAAAUAGGUUUGGAUGUGCCACGUGGCUUGCCCAGGCUCACUAAGUGGGGGGCUGCUACGUGAAAGAAAUCGAGACCUCCAAAACCCAUGCUAACCUGCCUCCUCUGUCCCAGCCGUGUCCCAGACGCCGGGGGACUGUCAGCCUGAGGCCGUGGGUAGCAGUGGCUUGUAUCCUUGGUGCUCAGCCCUGGGGCUGGGACAGCGUGGGUGCUGGGGGGAUGCUGGGUCAGAGCAAACUGAGUGGGGGAGCAGCUGGCUGAAUCUGGGAAAACCUCAAACUCUGCCAGAAGUCGGGGUCCGGAGGAAAGAGCCUGCGCACUCUGCACCGGUCAGACCACAGCUGAGUGCCGAGCGACUGGACACACUGGGGAAUAUUCAGAAAAGGGUGGCGCCCUCAGCUCUACAUGGCAGGUAGCCAUUCCAGAAAUGUAACAAGAAAACCCACCAAUUCGUGUCCGUGACACCGAGCUGGUCACACACGUUCCAUCCGACAGGUUUUGUGGAAACUUGCACGUGGGUGAGGACGGGCAGGUGCGAAGAAGGAGGAGCGGAAAUGAAUAGUUUCCACUGUCGGGAAGGAAACACACUGAAUUCACUUACACACAUGGCCUCGUUCUUCCGUGCACAGACCCAAGACUUAAUUUCCAUCAGCACACCAAAACGCCGUGCAUCUACCCAUGCCUGCUACUUCGAGCACGGUUCGUGAGCCAGCAACAUCAGCACCACCGGAACCUCGUGUGGCACGCAGGGUCUUGGACCUGAAUCUAUAUUUUAAUCUUAACAGAUCCCCAAGUGAUUUGUACUCAUAUUAAAGUUCAGGA